AGGGUUUGAUCAUGGCUCAGAUUGAACGCUGGCGGCAGGCCUAACACAUGCAAGUCGAGCGGUAGAGAGAAGCUUGCUUCUCUUGAGAGCGGCGGACGGGUGAGUAAUGCCUAGGAAUCUGCCUGGUAGUGGGGGAUAACGUUCGGAAACGGACGCUAAUACCGCAUACGUCCUACGGGAGAAAGCAGGGGACCUUCGGGCCUUGCGCUAUCAGAUGAGCCUAGGUCGGAUUAGCUAGUUGGUGAGGUAAUGGCUCACCAAGGCGACGAUCCGUAACCGGUCUGAGAGGAUGAUCAGUCACACUGGAACUGAGACACGGUCCAGACUCCUACGGGAGGCAGCAGUGGGGAAUAUUGGACAAUGGGCGAAAGCCUGAUCCAGCCAUGCCGCGUGUGUGAAGAAGGUCUUCGGAUUGUAAAGCACUUUAAGUUGGGAGGAAGGGUUGUAGAUUAAUACUCUGCAAUUUUGACGUUACCGACAGAAUAAGCACCGGCUAACUCUGUGCCAGCAGCCGCGGUAAUACAGAGGGUGCAAGCGUUAAUCGGAAUUACUGGGCGUAAAGCGCGCGUAGGUGGUUUGUUAAGUUGGAUGUGAAAUCCCCGGGCUCAACCUGGGAACUGCAUUCAAAACUGACUGACUAGAGUAUGGUAGAGGGUGGUGGAAUUUCCUGUGUAGCGGUGAAAUGCGUAGAUAUAGGAAGGAACACCAGUGGCGAAGGCGACCACCUGGACUAAUACUGACACUGAGGUGCGAAAGCGUGGGGAGCAAACAGGAUUAGAUACCCUGGUAGUCCACGCCGUAACGAUGUCAACUAGCCGUUGGAAGCCUUGAGCUUUUAGUGGCGCAGCUAACGCAUUAGG
rnacentral:rRNA from 1 species